UAGGGAAUCUUCCACAAUGGACGCAAGUCUGAUGGAGCAACGCCGCGUGAGUGAAGAAGGUCUUCGGAUCGUAAAACUCUGUUGUUAGAGAAGAACACGAGUGAGAGUAACUGUUCAUUCGAUGACGGUAUCUAACCAGCAAGUCACGGCUAACUCGUGCCAG
rnacentral:rRNA from 1 species